UUUAAAUUGCUGUGGUAUUUUGACUAUACGAAGGUAUUGAAAUAAGGCUUUAAAUGGGCGCUAAGAGAAUGGUUGAACAAUUAUAAGCUAUCUUUAAUUCAAAAAUUGAAUUUAAUUUUUUUGUGAAGAAGCAAAGAUAAAAAUUAGGGACAAGAAGACCCUAUGAAUUUUAAAUUUAUUAUUUAUUAAUUAAUAAGUAAUAAAUUUGAUUGGGGCGAUAAAAAAAGAUUAGGAAUCUUUUUUUUAAAAAAAAAUGUUCCGUUAUUAGCGAUUAUAUGAAAAAAAUACUCUAGGGAUAACAGCGUAAUAAUUUUGGAAAGUUCAUAUUGAUAAAAUAGUUUGCGACCUCGAUGUUGGAUUAGGAUUCUUUU
rnacentral:rRNA from 1 species